rnacentral:rRNA from 1 species
GACGAAACGUGCGAAUGUUGUUCGGAAUCACUGGGCUUAAAGGGCGCGUAGGCGGGCUGUCAAGUCUGGGGUGAAAUGCCGCGGCUCAACCGUGGAACUGCCUUAGAUACUGACGGCCUCGAGGAAGGUAGGGGCAUGCGGAACUCUGGGUGGAGCGGUGAAAUGCGUUGAUAUCCAAAGGAACGCCGGUGGCGAAAGCGGCGUGCUGGACCUUUUCUGACGCUGAGGCGCGAAAGCUAGGGGAGCAAACGGG